AUACGUAGGGUGCGAGCGUUGUCCGGAAUUACUGGGCGUAAAGAGCUCGUAGGUGGUUUGUCGCGUCGUCUGUGAAAUUCCGGGGCUUAACUCCGGGCGUGCAGGCGAUACGGGCAUAACUUGAGUACUGUAGGGGAGACUGGAAUUCCUGGUGUAGCGGUGAAAUGCGCAGAUAUCAGGAGGAACACCGGUGGCGAAGGCGGGUCUCUGGGCAGUAACUGACGCUGAGGAGCGAAAGCAUGGGUAGCGAACAGGAUUAGAUACCCGGGUAGUCCAUGCCGUAAACGGUGGGCGCUAGGUGUAGGGGUCUUCCACGACUUCUGUGCCGUAGCUAACGCAUUAAGCGCCCCGCCUGGGGAGUACGGCCGCAAGGCUAAAACUCAAAGGAAUUGACGGGG
rnacentral:rRNA from 1 species